rnacentral:rRNA from 1 species
CCUACGGGUGGCAGCAGUCGAGAAUCAUUCACAAUGGGGGAAACCCUGAUGGUGCGACGCCGCGUGGGGGAAUGAAGGUCUUCGGAUUGUAAACCCCUGUCAUGUGGGAGCAAAUUAAAAAGAUAGUACCACAAUAGGAAGAGACGGCUAACUCUGUGCCAGCAGCCGCGGUAAUACAGAGGUCUCAAGCGUUGUUCGGAAUCCCUGGGCGUAAAGCGUGCGUAGGCUGUUUCGUAAGUCGUGUGUGAAAGGCGCGGGCUCAACCCGCGGACGGCACAUGAUACUGCGAGACUAGAGUAAGGGAGGGGGAGCCGGAAUUCUCGGUGUAGCAGUGAAAUGCGUAGAUAUCGAGAGGAACACUCGUGGCGAAGGCGGGUUCCUGGACAUUAACUGACGCUGAGGCACGAAGGCCAGGGGAGCGAAAGGGAUUAGAUACCCGAGUAGUC